rnacentral:rRNA from 1 species
UGGGGAAUAUUGGACAAUGGGCGCAAGCCUGAUCCAGCCAUGCCGCGUGAGUGAUGAAGGCCCUAGGGUUGUAAAGCUCUUUCACCGGUGAAGAUAAUGACGGUAACCGGAGAAGAAGCCCCGGCUAACUUCGUGCCAGCAGCCGCGGUAAUACGAAGGGGGCUAGCGUUGUUCGGAUUUACUGGGCGUAAAGCGCACGUAGGCGGACUUUUAAGUCAGGGGUGAAAUCCCGGGGCUCAACCCCGGAACUGCCUUUGAUACUGGAAGUCUUGAGUAUGGUAGAGGUGAGUGGAAUUCCGAGUGUAGAGGUGAAAUUCGUAGAUAUUCGGAGGAACACCAGUGGCGAAGGCGGCUCACUGGACCAUUACUGACGCUGAGGUGCGAAAGCGUGGGCAGCAAACAGG